AUCCUCGUUAGGUGAGGCUCCUAUAUGGAGAUAAGCUACUGCCCAGAAACGUCGAGAGACACCAAUGGGUCAGCAGAAACUGUCGAGCUAAGGCGGUAUCUAAUGUAGCCGGGAAAAUUCCCAUGCCAUAUAGUGCUAAAACUUUACGAAAGAGG
rnacentral:sRNA from 1 species